rnacentral:rRNA from 1 species
UACGGGGGGAGCAAGCGUUGUUCGGAAUCACUGGGCGUAAAGGGCGUGUAGGCGGUUCGGUAAGUGGGAUGUGAAAUGCCCGGGCUCACCCCGGGACCUGCAUCUCAUACUGCUGAGCUUGAGUACAGGAGAGGGUGGGGGAAUUCCUGGUGUAGCGGUGAAAUGCGUAGAUAUCGGGAGGAACACCAGUGGCGAAGGCGACUUCCUGGCCUGUUCUUGACGCUGAGGCGCGAAAGCUAGGGGAGCAAACGGG